CGUUGAAACUCCGGUUCCCCUAUGAUCAAUCAAGUUAAGCAACGUGAAGCCUAGUCAGUAUUUAAAUGGGUGACCACUUGGGAAUUCCAGGGUCUG